rnacentral:lncRNA from 1 species
UUCCUGCUGUGCCCCAUGUGGCUGGCAGAGUUUUGUCAUUGUGGAACAGAGACUGCUGGAAGUGAAUUCUUCUUAAGCAGAAUGGCUUUUGUUCAAUUUUGACUCAGGCUUCCAGCCCAAACUCUUGAGUAAUCUAUGCUGAGAAAGCUGUCUGUGUAUAAGGUUUGUGUUGGUUUUUUUGGGGUUUUGUUUUUAUUUUUUGUUGGUUUUUUUUAGUUUUUUGUUUGAGUUUUUUCAGUUGGUUGGUUGGUUUUUUUGUUGUUGUUCUUUUCUAGAGACUUCCAGUCAGAUUCAAUCUGCAGUACAGAGAACCAUUUUCGGAAAGACUGUGUUCUGUGCAGAGGAUCUUUACUAUCAGCCUUGUGCUAGUAUAUCCUUUGAAAUUUACAGGAAAUUGGGGUUUAGAUUUAGAUGCCAAAAAAAUUAUUCUUAGGUUUCUAUACCUCUAUUUCUUUAUGUGGGUGAAUUGUGGAACAAAUCAGAGAGGCAUACUGCAUUAUUUUACUUCAUGUCUAUUAAUUCAUUUAUUCAUUUUUUCCCUGUACAAACAGGUGAAAAAAAAUGGUGUUUACACAUUAAAUUUUUCUUUCUGAAAAAGGAACAUGUGAUUCAAUGGCUCAUUUUCUGUCACAGCCAUAAUUUCAUCAUGUGAAAUCCAAAGUUGCUCUCUGUUCUAAAAUAGUCAGCAUGUUCCUCAUCUUCUUGUGGAGAUGCAAGAAGCCAAAUAGUUUUAUGGGUUUUAUAAAUCCUUUUCCACUUCUCUUGGUACAAUUUCCAGAAUUCAGUAUCUGCAAUGUCUUUGCACAAGUCUACAAACUGAGACACUCUUUAAAUGUUCACAGAGCAUUUUGUGUAAUUGUUGAAUAGUAUCCCUCUUUAAUUUUAUUAGCAACAAAGGUAAACAACCACUCCUGUCUGUAUGUUAGAAGUUGUCAUUACCUCUCACCCAAGUUCAAAGCAUUUCUAGCCAGCCUUUACUUGACAGCAAUUUUUGUUGAAUGCUUUGGUGAAUCAUAUAAAAACUGCAUGUGCCUUUUGCUGUGAUACACACUUUAUAAAUCCUUCAUGUACUUAUUUUCCAGCUAAAAAGAGAGGAUUGAGGACUAUAAAUAGUUCUAAGUCCCAACAUUCACCUCUAUCUUUUUCUGCACAAGGAAAUUUUAGAACAGCUACAAGCUCCUGGGUAACAGCUUUGUUGUUAUUUUUAAUCCCACCUAAGAGGCUUGCUUUUCCCCCUUAAUCCUGUUUUCUGCAUCCUCAUUCCAUCUCAAGAAAUCCCUCUUCCUCCACUUCUUCCUCUCCCUCUCCAUACUGCUACAUACAGUUUUCAUCCUUAAAUUGUUUAAUGGAGGAUCUUUCCUGGACUUAAUUUGUUACAAAUUGUCACAUCCAGGUUUGAACUCUUACUUCUUAAACACUAUGACAUUGAGCAUUUGCUUCUUCAAAUGCUUCUAUUUUCUGUAAGAAUAUAUGAAUGUACCAACAUCUCAAAUACCUUAAAGGCAGCAAAACAUACAGAAUAAGUGAAAAAGGCCACAUAACAAAACUCCAGCUGAUUCACAGUGGACCUGGUUAUUUUGCUGGAAUCACUAUGAAUGGGGAAGAAUCAUUCAGCUAUAUUGCAGAA